ACUGGCUGGCCCUGAAGGAAAGACUGAGGCCAUUCAUCUGCUCUGGAGUUCAUCCUCGGGAUCUGAGAUGCACAGCCUGAAGACAUCUCAUCAGCCAUCAGCUCCCUUAAGAGGACCUACUUUGUGCCAUACCUGGUCGCUGUUAUCCUGGAGCUUAUAGUCUAAUGGCAAAGAAAGAUGAGUUAAUCAAGUAAUCACACCAAAACACUUUCAAUUCAGCCAUGAAACUGUACAAUUUCAGCCAUGAAACAAUGUAAAGGAGAGGCACAUGGGGCUAUGAAAUCAUACAAUGCAAAGGACUGGUGUACUCUCAGGAUAAUUCUAGCUACAGUAUGGAGAAAGGAUGGAAGAAGAGCAAGAGUCGAGCACUGGGAGGGCCUCACUGGGGUCUUGGGGAGGAUGAUGGUAACUUGGACUAGGGUGGCUUCUGAGGAAUGGAAAGAAGGGUGCAUAAUCACAAGAUUCCCAGGUAAAAUCCACAGGUCUUGGUUAUCAAUUGGAGGUGUCAGGAAGGACUGUGGUGUUUUGAGUCUACAUCCAAGAUGGAAGAUAAUGAUGCCAGUUUUAGCAGUGGGACGAGAUCAUGAGAAGGUCCUGUUGAGUCCGAGGUACCUCUGAGCCACCCAGCUGUAGAUAUCAACUAGAUAGUGGAAGGUGUGCUGGAGCUCAGAGAAGUCAGGGCUGGAGAUACACAUUUGUGCAUCAUCAACAGCUAGGUGGCAAUUCAAACUGUGGGCUGGGAGGCAUUGCCUAAGAAGAAAGAACGUAAGGAGAAGAAAGCCAGUGACGUUCAUUGCAGAAUGUCAGCGCUUAUGUUUAAUGGUCAAGUGGAUUGUUUCCUCUAAAACAAGUUUAGAGGAAAGAUCCAAGAGAAGGAGGAAAAUUAGAACCUAGAAGACCAUGGUUUCACAGAGGCCAAGGGAAGAGAGUUUCAAGCAGGAAGUGCCCAGCGGGGGUGAGCAGGGGGUAAGGCAAAAGAAGGUGGAAGAAUGCCUGUUACACUAAGCGACUCAAAAGUCAUUUGUGACUUUAGCAAAAGAUAUUCAAUGGAGGGAAGAGAGCAGAAGAUAAAAUGAGGUGGACUGACAUGAGAAUAGCAGGUAAGAGAGUGCAGAAAGUGAGCAUAGACAGCUCUUUAGAAAUGGUUGUGAAGAGGAAGAGAGGGCCCUGUGGAUGGAGAUGUGGAGUCAGGCAGAUAGCUCUGGUGUAUUUGAUUUUUCAGUGGGAGUGCUCCUAGCAUGUUAAAGCCUAAAGACUUUGUUGAAAGGGGUGCUGAAAAAAGAGAAAUGGUAUCAUCUAAGGUUACCAAGGGCCAGGAUCCUUGACACAGGUAGGAGGAUGCAGAGGCUUCGUGGGUCUGGUAGCUCCUGCUCUCCCCUGGACUUUUCUGAACCUCUGGGACCUGCCCACGCCCUGAUCGCCUGCCCUGGAACGCCUGCUGUCCCUCCCUUUCUUGGCAUCUCUCCUCCCCGCUGUCUCGCCUGCCCACAGUUCCUCUCCUGCAGCCUGUUCUGCUGUUUUCUCAGCUUUGUUCACCCACUGUUAAGUUAUUAACUUGUCAGGGUCUAGACUCCCCGCUUCCUUUCCCUCUUUUGAACUCACUGCUGGCUCCCUUCCCAUUUGCCGCCUCAGAAAGUCAGCAUUUGGAAGGCUGAGGUUACUCUGCAGGUCAGUAUUGGCAGGUACACAGAAUUACAGUUAAUAUAAUUAGAAUGUGUAAGUUUUCUUAAAGACAAUGAUACAACUGAAAAAGAAAUAAUAAACACAGUCAUCUCUCUGUUAUCUUGUGGAGGUAAAUGGUGAACUUAAAAAAAUAGACUUUAUUCAAAGUAGUGUCUCCAAGAAGGUUCAUCUGUGAACAUGUUAAGGAUCGCUGGACUCUUAUAUGUUAAUUCAUGGAUUCAAUUAUGAUCAGGAAUGAUCCUCAGUUUUUAAAGCAAACUCAAAGAACUAGGUAAGUUGUUUUAAUAUCAGUGUCGCUGUUCUGAGACGUGCAAACUUUAUCUUAGAUUCUUUCUAUUAUUUUUAUUUAUUUAUUUUUUUUGAGACGGAGUCUUGCUCUGUCACCCAGGCUGG
rnacentral:lncRNA from 1 species